AUUAUUGGGCGUAAGGGCUCGCAGGCGGUUUCUUAAGUCUGAUGUGAAAGCCCCCGGCUCAACCGGGGAGGGUCAUUGGAAACUGGGGAACUUGAGUGCAGAAGAGGAGAGUGGAAUUCCACGUGUAGCGGUGAAAUGCGUAGAGAUGUGGAGGAACACCAGUGGCGAAGGCGACUCUCUGGUCUGUAACUGACGCUGAGGAGCGAAAGCGUGGGGAGCGAACAGGAUUAGAUACCCUGGUAGUCCACGCCGUAAACGAUGAGUGCUAAGUGUUAGGGGGUUUCCGCCCCUUAGUGCUGCAGCUAACGCAUUAAGCACUCCGCCUGGGGAGUACGGUCGCAAGACUGAAACUCAAAGGAAUUGACGGGGGCCCGCACAAGCGGUGGAGCAUGUGGUUUAAUUCGAAGCAACGCGAAGAACCUUACCAGGUCUUGACAUCCUCUGAGGAUCCUAGAGAUAGGACGUCCCCUUCGGGGGCAGAGUGACAGGUGGUGCAUGGUUGUCGUCAGCUCGUGUCGUGAGAUGUUGGGUUAAGUCCCGCAACGAGCGCAACCCUUGAUCUUAGUUGCCAGCAUUCAGUUGGGCACUCUAAGGUGACUGCCGGUGACAAACCGGAGGAAGGUGGGGAUGACGUCAAAUCAUCAUGCCCCUUAUGACCUGGGCUACACACGUGCUACAAUGGACAGA
rnacentral:rRNA from 1 species